AAAAUUGAGAGAUUACAAACCGGAUGAUUUUAACCUGGUAAAAGUCAGACUAGUUUUAGAAAUAAGAUUUAAUAAUUUGCAAACAAAAAUGCCUUGAGUUUACAUAGUCCUCUAAACCAAGGGUCAGCAAAAUUUUUCUGAAAAGGAUCAGACUAAAUAUUUUAGGCUUUGCAGGUCUUAUGGUUUUUGUCACAUCUUCUCAACUUCUACUGUAGUUUAAAAGCAGCCAUAAACAGUAUGUAAAUGAAUGAGCAUGACUGUGUUCCAAUAAAACUCUACUUAUAAAAACAGGCAGUAUGCUUAAUUUG